GACGAACGCUGGCGGCGUGCUUAACACAUGCAAGUCGAACGGAAAGGCCCUGCUUGCAGGGUACUCGAGUGGCGAACGGGUGAGUAACACGUGGGUGAUCUGCCCUGCACUUCGGGAUAAGCCUGGGAAACUGGGUCUAAUACCGGAUAGGAGCCAUUUUUAGUGUGAUGGUUGGAAAGUUUUUUCGGUGUAGGAUGAGCUCGCGGCCUAUCAGCUUGUUGGUGGGGUAAUGGCCUACCAAGGCGGCGACGGGUAGCCGGCCUGAGAGGGUGGACGGCCACAUUGGGACUGAGAUACGGCCCAGACUCCGACGGGAGGCAGCAGUGGGGAAGAUUGCACAAUGGGCGCAAGCCUGAUGCAGCGACGCCGCGUGGGGGAUGACGGCCUUCGGGUUGUAAACUCCUUUCGCUAGGGACGAAGCUUUUUGUGACGGUACCUAGAGAAGAAGCACCGGCUAACUACGUG
rnacentral:rRNA from 1 species